rnacentral:lncRNA from 1 species
AUAAUCUUUGUGUCCCUUUCAUGUGGGAUUCCUACACAGAAAACUUAAACUAGGAAAAUAAAACAAAUAACAAUCUAUUGUUAAUCCUACUACUAGAAAAAAUUAUCUAAAAUUAAUUAUGGUCUUGAAAAAAAAAUUUUGGUUCAAUCCUCCUCUUUCUCUUUAGAAGAUACUCCCCAUUCCCUUCUCCUUCUUCAUCAUUGCUUUCUUCCUGCUCC